AAUCUAUUGAGACUGUCAGCAUGAUCAGUGGGGUCGCAAGGUAGAAAUUGACGAAAACAAGAAUAGAGCCAGAUUAGGAUUUCAACUAGGGCCAUUCAACAUCAAAGUUGAAGAUGUGCAACCAAGUUUUCAUAGUGGAGGGUUCAUUCAUAGUAAUGAUCAACACACAAUUGCUAUGAUCAAGGAUGGUAACGAUGAAGGCGAAGCUUGCGCCAACUUUGUGACGCAUGGCCAGAC
rnacentral:lncRNA from 1 species